rnacentral:rRNA from 1 species
UACGAAGGGUGCAAGCGUUAAUCGGAAUUACUGGGCGUAAAGCGCGCGUAGGCGGCCAUUUAAGCUAGAUGUGAAAGCCCCGGGCUUAACCUGGGAAUUGCAUUUAGAACUGGGUGGCUAGAGUAUGGGAGAGGAGUGUGGAAUUUCAGGUGUAGCGGUGAAAUGCGUAGAGAUCUGAAGGAACAUCAGUGGCGAAGGCGACACUCUGGCCCAAUACUGACGCUGAGGUGCGAAAGCGUGGGGAUCAAACAGG